GUCAUCAUAAACUCCACUCUGAUAUGCCGAGGCAAAACACGCUCAACAUUUUUUGGCUGCUGCAGUAGCUCAGCUCGUUCAGUUCAGCUCGCUCAGCUCAGCUCCGCUCCGGACCGGACUCAGCUGCCACUAAGCUAUAAGAUGGAGUCAUGAAAUGUGACGGGACAGCCACCGAGGACUUCAUAUGGAUGUGUACUUCGGAGCAUCUCAAACAUGCACCACAAAGACGUGGAGGACACACCGCUGUUUCUCUGGACCUAGAAUCUGAAUGAAAGUAUAAUGAUGUUAAGGGAAGGUGUAAUGGAAAGGUGUAAUGGAAAGUUGUAAUGGUGUUAAGGGAAGGUGUAGUGGAAAGGUGUGAUAGUGUUGAGGGAAGGUGUAAUAGUGUUGAGGGAAGGUGUAAUGUAAAGGUGUAAUAGUGUUAAGGGAAGGUAUAAUAUUGUUAAGGGAAGGUGUAAUGUAAAGGUGUAAUAGUGUUAAGGGAAGGUAUAAUAUUGUUAAGGGAAGGUGUAAUGUUAAAGGUGUAAUAGUUUUAAGGGAAGGUAAAUGUUUAGUGAAAUUGUUAUGGUGUGAAUCUAAGGUGUAUGUUAUGUUGAUGUAAAAUAAAGGCAUUAACCCCAAAUGAGAUUUACUCAUUAUUUUUAUUAUUAUAUUAAUGUUUCCCCAAACAGAAAGGGUCAAUUUAAAAUCAACACUGGUAAGAUGGGGGUAAUUAAUUUAUCCCUUGCUUUUACUGGUUCUUUGCAGGUUGACAUGUUUUGGAAAAAAUGAGAGGGUUGAAAUGCAAUUUAUUUGUAAAGCAUAUUGUGUAUAACUAACAUGCAUAACUAGUUCCAGAAGGUUGUGAACCUGUUCCAGUAAUUGUUUGGCUUAGCUUUGUAUGCGUUUCCAGUUAUCUGCUGAAGCUGGAACAAUGGAACAGUUGCCACCGUCUGAAAUGGCACUACAGUUAUGCAGGGAGCCUCAAAGUAGUUGGUCUAUAAAAACGUAUACAUGUAAAUUUCACAUAGAAAAGACGUCCACAACGACUUAAUUUAAACUAGAAUUAGCCCUUAUCCGGAGGUCUGGAGGACGUCAAUACUGGACGUGCAGAAGACGUCAGAAAAAAGACGUCGUCUGGCGUCACAGUCUGCACCUUCAGGAGACCAAAAUUGGACGUGCAAAAAUGACCUAGAAAAGACGUCGUUUCAACGUCUCUUUGUUUAGUGG